AGCCAUGUAGUAAGCACAAAGCGAACUAUUCUUUCGCCUUUUACUAAAGAAUACCGUGUGCUUGCUACUAAUAAUGGCAUACGUUUAUUUUUGGAUGGCUGUUCUCAUUAGAGCAU